CCGGGCGCGGUGGCUCACGCCUGUAAUCCCAGCACUUUGGGAGGCUGAGGCAGGCAGAUCAACUCAGGUCAGGAGUUUGAGACCAGCCCGGCCAACAUGGUGAAACCCUGUCUCUACUAACAAUACAAAAAUUAGCCCGGCAUGGUGGCACAUGCUGGUAAUCCCAGCUACUUGGGAGGCAGGAGGCUGAGACGGGAGAAUCCCCUGAACCUGGGAGGCAGAGGUUACAGUGAGCUGAGAUCGCGCCAUUGUAUUCCACCCUGGGCAACAGAGCAAGACUCUGUCUCAAAAAAAGCGCAUAUCUAUGUUAUCCAUUUUUUGCCAAAAUUGGGGUCAUUCUGUAGUCAAUGUUAUAUUCUGCUUUCUUCGUGUUAUGUUGAGAACAACUUUCUCGUUACUAGAAAGCCUUCAGAAGCUUGGUUUGUGGGGGGCCAGUCUUUAAUAGUCCCUGGCUGCUGGGCACUGAGGUUGCUUCUGUGCUCACCCAGCUCCAUGGAUCCCAGGCCAGCAGCCGCCCCUUCUCCCUGGGGCCAGAUUUGCCCUUUGCCCUUUGCCCCUGCCAAAGCCCAAGUUCAGCACAGUCUCUGCUGACACCCCUCUACCCCCGCUUGGCUGCCUCCAUGUCCCCUGGACUGCUUGUCUCUCGUGUUCCCCUGGGACGAAAGUGCUCAGUAUUCUUCCUGUGGCAUCUCCUCCCUGGUCCCUGGUCAGAGGGUCCCUUUCUGAGGUCCAGGCUCCCUCAGCACCAGUCUGUGCCCACUCAGGGCCUCCCCAGCCCUGUGCCCCCCUGGGUCCUAGCCCUCGCCCCAGCAGGCCUUGCUGCAAGUUGGCAGAACUGAAUCGGGUUGUGUGGCUUCUUGUCUCAGACAAGAGCAGACGACUCCUGAUUCUCCACCUAGAAUCAGAGUGAGUGGGAGCUUAGCCCUUUGUUUUUGGAUGAGGUCAGGGUGGGAGCCAUAUUGCCACCAGGGCAGAGCCUGGGCCAGAGUGCAGUGUGGCCCCAGGCAGGCUGCUCUCUGUCUCCGGUGCAUGGGGAAGGGGCGGUGGUUUUACUGGGGCCCGUGUGGGGUGCUGAAACAGCUGUGUAGAGACCUUCCUUGCUGCUGUGCACUGAGCUGUGCUCAAGGUAGGUGAGCAUUGAUAUCCCACUCUACCGAGGGGGAAACUGAGGCCCUGAGUUGAUGUGAUUUGCCUGAGGUCACAGUGAGGCAGUGAGGAAGGGGAUUAGACCCAAACUCUGUCUGAUACCAGUCACCAAAUGAAUGAGUGAGUGAGUGAGUGAGUGAAAGGUGAAUGUGAAGUGCUGGAACGUAAAGCACUGGCCUGGCAGAGCUCCCAGGACGGGGACUUGACCCAGGGAGGCAGGCUGGGAAGGCUUCUUGGUGGAGGGGACCCAAACUGGCCUUGGAAGAGAGGAGGGGUCAGUGCCAGAGACCCAAGGUCGAGGUGAGGGUGGGCAAAGGUGAGGCGAGGCAGCUGGGGCAGGAGCAAGGCUGGAAAUGCGUUC
rnacentral:lncRNA from 10 species